ensembl:lncRNA
CAACUGGAGUUUGAAGACUUAAGAAAAAAAACGAACAACGGAUGUCAGCUCGCACCCUAAGUUUACAGCUAACAAAGCAUUAAUGUUACACUAAAAAUGUGGCUUAGCUUAAGUAUCCAUUUUUAACUAUCAACCAAAGUGAAAACAUUAAUUCACCCAAAUCAAUGUUCCCUAAACAAUAAUUUUCCUCCAGAACAUUUCUUCUUUUUCAACAUAAACUCUUAUCUAACAUAACCCAUUUAAAGUAUUAGAUCUGCAGAGUUCAGCAAUUAGCUCUGGAAAUUGUUUUCCUUGAGUGUAUGGAAGGUUACAUUACACGGUGAAAUAUAAAGUGUACGCUACAGUGAAUGAAAACCUCUUUUUGAACGAUUAUUAUCUUUCAAAAAGGCUGGGAUAAGGGCCAGAUUACCAAAAAGAAUUCAAGCCAGCUAUUAAAGUUCGACUUGUACAUCCGAAGUCCCCUGUUAUUUCAUGCAAGUAUCCACUUUCAGUGCAUCUUUGGGGGUUUUCAAAUGUCAUUGUUUAUACGUAAUACCCACAGACUGUGUUUUCCUGAAAACAUGGCAGGAAAAAUCCAAUCUGAGGAAUAAACAAGCAAGCAAAUAGGGAAAUGGGUGUAAAGAAAAGCACACAAAGGAGAAAGGGACAGUAUAUAAACCAGGCAAAUGAAGGCAGGAGAUGACACUGAGGGUACUUCAGGUGUUACUGAAAGUGAGGACAAGGAUGGAGAGGCUACACCUCAUCUGUCCCCUUAUCUAGAAAAAACCCCUGAGAGACACAGAUAUUUGUGGAAAAGCAGUAUUUCACAUGUAGGUUGUAAGAGACUGCUGGGAGUCACCUCAGCCAUUCUUAUACUCAAAACAUGGCAAACAUCAAAACUAAAUCUAUUAACAGAAGAUUUGUCUUCAAGUUGCUUCAUUCAGCUCUUCCUCUCAAUCAGGUGGUUCAUACGAGAUGUCCACCAUGACACCCUCUUUGUGGACCUCCCCACAAAUCCUGACCCAGAAGCUCCUCAACAUCCACUGCUACUCCUCUGUACAAAACACAACCCUGGUUUUCCAUGUACAUCUUAGUCUCAAAGAGGUGCAUCCAUCUAUCCAUCACAACAAUGCAGUCAAGGGAACUACUCCACCAUGCCUGCCAUUCUAGCAAACCUUGAUUAAAGCCCUUAGUGCUAUGGUACUAAUUAAAGUACUGUUACAUACACUAGGUGAAGCAAAGCACACAGAUACACAGAGGGCAAAUUACUCAGCAUCAAGUGUCAGUGACAGAGCUGUGAAGACAAUAUAGGAACCCAAACUCCUCAUCUUACAUGUUACCUUUAGCCUAAACAGCCUUUGAUGAUGCCCUAAUGAGGGCAAAAUGAGAAGAAAAGCUUCUCGUGGAGAACAGUCACAUGGAGCCAGAUGCUCAGCAGAUAAAAAUGCACUACUUUCAACGCAGCUAUGCCAAUUUACAUCAGUUGAUGAUGUGACCUAUAUAAUGAAAACUAGCUUGAAGCAGCUAAGGAAUAUAACCUUGAUUUAUUCCAAAUACAUUAUAUUUAACACUGUCACUUAUCUUUUACAUGCCAACAUACAAGCUCAGGAGACAGACACAUUUCUGUACUCUCAGCUGGGAAUCAUAUUCUUGCAACACUCCUAGAUGAUGCACAUACUGUCUCUAUUUGUGUUCACCCUUUCAGAUGGCAUGGUGCCCGUGAAACAAGCUGAUUAGCACUUGCCCUGGGCUAUCAAGGCAAGGCAAUGGUAUGUUUAGAUCAGCAAACUGCAUAACAAUAUAAAUGUCAUCUAUUCUACAAGGAGCUUUGGCAGUAUUUGCAUCUUGUGCUUCAUUACAUGUAUGUGCCAAAAAGAAACUCAAAGACUUGAAGAAGAAAGACAGGCAUGGGAUUCGCCAGCCCUCCCGGUUGCCAAAACAUGCCGUAUAGCAGUGGGUGCCUCGUUAUAAUCCCCAGGGAGCAUCUACCGGGUGUCAGAUUGUAUGUAACGCGAACACCACUGGUACAUAUAUACAUAUAUAUACAGCCUUUUUUGUUCAGCCAGGCUCAUAAGCAGAAAAGGAACCACAAACAGCGUGUCUGGCACAGUUCAAGACAUGAUCUGUACACUUGCCCAGAAAGGAUGGCAUGCAGCCUAAACAGAAUAGCCCUGGGUGGUCAGUAGCUGGUUGUGCAACAUCUUUGCUGGCGGGGCAAGCUGUAGCAAUACCUAGCAGAUACAAUGGAUAAUGGGCUAAGGACACCGAGUUUAGGACACUAGCUGGAGUGCAAGCCAGGCCUCUAAUGGCCUGGCACUCAUUAGCAUUUGAUUGUUGCUGGAGACCUAUAUGACAUGAAAUGAUGGUCUCGUUCCAAUUCCUGGUGAGCAAAUGUCAGCACCAUUAUCACAGUAAGCAUCCAUCUUAGUGGUCUUCCCAAAGAAGCCAAGGACUGAAUUGGAAGAAAGGCUGAUCUAUGUCUCAUUGUCAGUGGAGGGGACUUCCCAGGACAGAGCUGGGGCAAACUAGCAGGGUUCAGAAUUGUUGCCUGUACAAGCCUUACUUAAUUCUUCAGCAGAUGGGAGAGGAUACAGAAAAAGUAGAUACAGUGUAGGAAAGAUGCACCAAAAGGAAGAGAAUGAUGUCAAACAAAGGUAGGAAAGACAACUCUGCAGAACAACAGAAAAACAGCAUGGCAUGACUUGCCAAGUGGGUAGCAGAGUAACACACCCAGAGCAUGAGAAACAGAAACUUCAUUGUAAAUACAUAACUAAAGAGGACACGAGCAAAUUCAAUGAACGUUUACUGAAUUUCACAGGUCUUUGUAGUUUACUUUCUGUUCCCACACUAGAAACCAAUAGCAGUGUUAAAGGUAAAUCCCUCAACUUUUCUGUACCAAUUAAUCCAACAGCCUGAGGCAGAGCUCUUAGCACUCUGCAGCCUUCCAACAGUCUCUUCCUACAGCAAAUCCAAGAGCUUUCUGCACACUUUGUAGAAAUUCACAACCAAGUGCUUUAUCCUGACUACUUACUAAUGAUUAUUAUUCACUUUAUCAAAGUUUUACUUUCAUGACAAACAUACAAACCACUUGAACCAUGUUCCAAACGCUGUUUAUAAGUGAGGCUUCCUUCUCUGAGAUACUCCUUCAUUGUUCUAUAUAACCUCAUUGCAUUUCUAUUUCAUUAUUCUUUGGUCAAUACUAGAACCAUAGCACAGGCAGUAAGGCUACAGAGUGACUCUUCUAAGGAGAUAAUGCAAAGUGCCACUUAGCAUUACAUUUCUGUUUGGAAAUGGAAGGGUUUUAUUCUUAGUUAUGCACACAAAAAUCAGAAAAGAUAUUUGUUACUUCUACUAUUGAAGUGAAGCCCUUAACUUAUGAGAAUCCUUAGUCAUGCCCUUCUGCUAUUGCACAUUCCUCAUAAAUUCAUAUUUACAACACUUUAACAACUUCUUUUCUUUCUGAAAGCAGAAAUCACUCUGAAAUACUUUUGUUUGAUUAGCACUAUCCAGAUGCAUUAAACUGCUAUUACAUAAGGGGAUUUGUACUUUCUACUAAAGUUUUCAGGAGAGAGAUAUUUAAAAGAUUAUGAAAUAUGGUUGUGGGGAGAAAAAAAAGAAUGUUGGAACAUAUCCAUCAAUAUUUCAGUAUAAAUUGUAGAAGCACCAGAAUUACAUGGUGCAAUUAUCUUGCAGAAUGUAUAGCUCCUAGCACUGAUCUUUCUGUUUUAACAGGAAAAAAAUGGUUUAAUAGUUAGUAAAUGAAUGUUAAGAUGCUGAGGAAAAUUCUGUCCUAAUUGAAUAAUGAAACUAAUGCACCUUGUGCAUUUGUUUAAAAAGUAUCUGCUACUUGGUCUGUAUCAAGCGUAAGUGGCCUUUUAUGUGAUAUACUGCCAACACUAACCUUCCUACAAGGUCCAAUUCUUUCUGACUCUUGACCAAAGAUCACAUUUGGACUCUCACAGCCAGCAGUGCCAUAGUGUGUAUGAAGUCUUUAACAAAGCCAGUGGUCCUUAAGAUGAGCUUGACAACUGGAGCCUGGCUCCAAGAAAGCAUUAUGUAAAAAGACUCGGAUUUCUCUCAAGGGUUUUGUUUUUUUAAAGGAAAAACAAUGACACACAAUUCUGUUAAUAUGUCACAGAGUCAGUAAGUUUUCUUUGGUUUUUUCUCCCCUUAUAUCCAGCCUUUUCAGUUGCCUAUGCAUUGAUCUACCGAUUUUCCAAAGUGUUUGAGGAAUCAGCCUGGGUUUGUUCGCAUACCAUGUCAAUAUGAGGUCCAUUUAUGGCAUGUAUAUUUAAGAUGAUAAACAGGGCAGGUUUUGCAAUGGUAAUGUGGGACAUAUGAAGAGCCCAAACAAAGAAUCCCAUUGACAUAGCUGUGUUUUGGAUCAGGCCCACUGUGAAUUUGAAGAUGGAAUAAGAAGCAGGAUGGCUAUUCCCUUCCAGUAAAUAUGCAAAGUUCUCUUCUCACAUACAAUGGCAACAGUUUUACACUGAUGUAGAUCAUGGUCCAUGGAUAAUCAGCCCACUAUUCACUUCCCCAGC